ensembl:lncRNA
UUCAGUGCUGUAUUGAGCUCCUCUUUGAAAUUAACAAAGUAAAAAUACAUUAAUAAAACAACACCAGAUUGCAGUGAGAAGAAAAGAAGAAAAUACACUGACAUUUUCAGACAUAUUAGUUCUUGACGGGGAUAAAACAUGUAUUCUAUGUUGACUUGGGUUUGCUUUGUUUUAUAUUUUGUUGGAAGAGUAAAAAUAUUUGGUAUGAGAGACAAAAAACGGGUUACACUCGCUUCACUCUCCAGUCCAGCGGGUGGCGCUAAUAUCACACACGUCUUUUUGCCAAACAACAUUAAAUCUCAGAAGAAGAAGAUUCGUUUCACCGCGCUCUCUGUUGUUUUGUCGUGAUGCUGGUUUAAUACAAACGGUUAGAAAUAUUGUUUCUGUAAAUAGAAAAAUACAGUUUUAGAAAUCAACAAAUACCUGUGAUAUUUUCAUCCUCACAGUCUUUAAGAUUUGAAGCUGGCAGGAAUAUUUUGAGGAGUAUCAUCUGAACUGAGAUCUGCUGCUGUGAAGAUGGAGUUUAAAGAGGAGAGUGAAGAGAACACGAGUGAACCAGAAACCUGCAGAAUAAAACACGAGGAACCAGAAACCUGGAGAAUAAAACACGAGGAACCAGAAACCUGGAGAAUAAAACAAGAGGAACCAGAAACCUGGAAAAUAAAACACGAGGAACCAGAAACCUGGAGAAUAAAACACGAGGAACCAGAAACCUGGAGAAUAAAACACGAGGAACCAGAAACCUGGAGAAUAAAACACGAGGAACAAGGAGGGCCAGCUAUGGCUACAUCUUCAAAUACCCCCCUCCCACAAGAUGAUGGUCUGUGGAUGUUUCUUCAGAGCCGAGGGAUUCCUGAGGAAAAUAUACAGAAAAUGCAGCAAGAUCAUAUUGACAGCUCGGUAGUUGGAGAAAUAGAUGAUGCCACUAUGACUGCUUACAUUCCAGCAUAUGGUGAUAGGAUUGCUACAAGGCGUUUCUGUAUGGAAAAACAGAGAAAAGGUGGAGAUGAUCUAAAAAGACUGUCCUUAUUUGAAAAACUUAGAAGAAAGAUGGGCACAUUGACAAGCAAUAAAGACACAGAUCAAGAUUUUGAGGAGGAGCAUUCUAUGCAGCCAACAAAGAUGCAUCUGAGAAAUAACAAAAGGGCCAUGAAGAUGACAAGGAAAAUAGAACUAGGAUGGAUACACAACAAGAAACAAGUGAGAAAACGCAAUGGUGGAGGAACCAGAGUUCUUGAUAUUUCCAAGAAAGCCACAAAAACAGAGAUUCUAUCACAAGCUAAAAAGCUAUUUUUCCCCAAUGAGAAAUCGAGAAAGGGAAAGUGGGAAGAGUUCAGUCACAGCAUUGUUGACUUUCAGGAAGCAUACCUUGAUGAGGGUGUUAGUGUGGGAGAGCUCUAUGAAACACAAAAAUUGGGGAUUUUAAGAUUUUACUUGUUCACAGAGCACCUGACAAAUGGAGAUGAAGUAUUCACAGAGACGACAGAAGGAACUGAUGAACAGACAGAUGCAGCGAGUGUAAAUGAGCGACAGAAAAACACAACAGAAGAUAAUAAGCAGAUGACACAAAAACCACAUGACAGUGAACAGCAGACACACACUGUGGAAGCUUUUGUCUCUACUGCUGUAGAGAUUGUUGAUCUUACAUCUUUGUGUGAUACAUCGGAGGUCAUUUUUGGCCCUUUGCAAGGUGGACCAUUUUUAGAAGAUCUUGAUGACACAAUCUUACAUGAGCCUAUAGAAGAGGCCCAGAUAAACAUCGACGCCAAUAGCUCAACUACUGUCCAUUCUGACACCGUGUCUGCUGGCCCAUUAAGUCCUCCUUAUGAACUGUUGCAUGUGACAGUGAAACUCCACAGAGUCAAUCUCUUGGAGGAACUGAUUAUCCAAUUCAAGGAUGAAGCGAUGAUGUCCUACACUGUGAAAUACAGCUUCAUUCAUGAAAUGGGGGCAGAUGCUGAUGGCGUGUCCAGGGAUGUAUAUGCUGCCUUCUGGACAGAGUUUUUAGACUGUGCAGCAGAGGGUGCAGAUGUGAGGGUGCCAUCACUAUCCCCAAAAUGGCAAGAGGAAGAAUGGAAAUCUGUUGGUAGGAUAAUGGUCAAGGGAUUAAAGGACCAUGGAUAUUUUCCUUCUCGGCUGGCUCAAGCUUUUACAGCAGCAAUCACAUUUGGUGAACACACUGUCUCACCUGAUUUAUUGUUUGACUCACUAAUGUUGUAUCUUAGUCAGUCUGAGCGCGAUCUCUUGUCCACUGCUUUGCAAGACGCCCUUGAUGGUGAUGAUAAAGAUGAACUUCUUGAUCUUAUGGAUCGCAUGGGAGUAAGAACAGUACCAACACAAGAGAACUUGAAAGCUGUACUUCUCCAAGUUGCCCACAAGCAAAUAAUCCAGCAACCAAAAUAUGCACUGGAUAACAUUGCAGCAGUCGCAGGACCAACUCUCAGGGAAUUCUUCCCCAGUGUGCUGGAUAUGCAGAAGAUGUAUGAGGAUCUUAAACCAUCAACCCGAAAGGUAUUAAGGUUGAUCACGGCCUCUCCAGCUACUCCAGCUGAGAACCAAAGUUUGCGAUUUUUACAUCAAUACAUCAGGGGACUGGAUGAGAUAGGCCUCCGGAAGAUGUUGAGAUUCGUGACAGGGUCUGAUGUCAUCUGCGUUAAAGACAUUCAAGUCAUAUUCACCCCUUUGGAAGGGUUAUCAAGGCGGCCUAUUGCACAUACUUGUGGCCCAACUUUAGAGCUGCCAUCAACUUACAACAGCUAUCCUGACCUCCGAGCUGAAAUGGAGGCUAUACUGUCCAGCAACUUCUAUGCAAUGGACAUUGCAUAG